rnacentral:rRNA from 1 species
AGGGGCAGCACGAUGUAGCAAUACAUUGGUGGCGACCGGCGCACGGGUGAGUAACGCGUAUGCAACCUACCUAUCAGAGGGGAAUAACCCGGCGAAAGUCGGACUAAUACCGCAUAAAACAGGGGUUCCACAUGGAAAUAUUUGUUAAAGAAUUAUCGCUGAUAGAUGGGCAUGCGUUCCAUUAGAUAGUUGGUGAGGUAACGGCUCACCAAGUCCACGAUGGAUAGGGGUUCUGAGAGGAAGGUCCCCCACACUGGUACUGAGACACGGACCAGACUCCUACGGGAGGCAGCAGUGAGGAAUAUUGGUCAAUGGGCGAGAGCCUGAACCAGCCAAGUCGCGUGAAGGAUGAAGGAUCUAUGGUUUGUAAACUUCUUUUAUAUGGGAAUAAAGUGAGGAACGUGUUCCUUUCUGUAUGUACCAUAUGAAUAAGCAUCGGCUAACUCCGUGCCAGCAGCCGCGGUAAUACGGAGGAUGCGAGCGUUAUCCGGAUUUAUUGGGUUUAAAGGGUGCGUAGGUGGUUAAUUAAGUCAGCGGUGAAAGUUUGUGGCUCAACCAUAAAAUUGCCGUUGAAACUGGUUGACUUGAGUAUAUUUGAGGUAGGCGGAAUGCGUGGUGUAGCGGUGAAAUGCAUAGAUAUCACGCAGAACUCCGAUUGCGAAGGCAGCUUACUAAACUAUAACUGACACUGAAGCACGAAAGCGUGGGGAUCAAACAGGAUUAGAUACCCUGGUAGUCCACGCAGUAAACGAUGAUUACUAGCUGUUUGCGAUACACAGUAAGCGGCACAGCGAAAGCGUUAAGUAAUCCACCUGGGGAGUACGCCGGCAACGGUGAAACUCAAAGGAAUUGACGGGGGCCCGCACAAGCGGAGGAACAUGUGGUUUAAUU